rnacentral:rRNA from 1 species
GUCCAGACUCCUACGGGAGGCAGCAGUGAGGAAUAUUGGUCAAUGGGCGCGAGCCUGAACCAGCCAAGUAGCGUGAAGGAUGACUGCCCUACGGGUUGUAAACUUCUUUUAUAAAGGAAUAAAGUGAGGCACGUGUGCCUUUUUGUAUGUACUUUAUGAAUAAGGAUCGGCUAACUCCGUGCCAGCAGCCGCGGUAAUACGGAGGAUGCGAGCGUUAUCCGGAUUUAUUGGGUUUAAAGGGUGCGUAGGCGGGCUUUUAAGUCAGCGGUAAAAAUUCGGGGCUCAACCCCGUCCGGCCGUUGAAACUGGGGGCCUUGAGUGGGCGAGAAGAAGGCGGAAUGCGUGGUGUAGCGGUGAAAUGCAUAGAUAUCACGCAGAACCCCGAUUGCGAAGGCAGCAUACCGGUGCACAACUGACGCUCAGGCACGAAAGCGUGGGUAUCGAACAGGAUUAGAUACCCCGGUA